UCCACCAACUCCACUCUCUAGCCACCAGCCCACCGUCGGCCGUCAUAGCCCCUCGCCGGAGAAGGUCGCAACCCCUUUUGUUCUUUGGCCUUCCCUCACUAAUUCACUUUCUUCAUCCUUCAGGUUCAUUUAAACAUUCCCGCCUGUCUAAUUAACCCUAAAACCCUCUCUUUCUCCCCCCCCACCCCAAAAUUCCCCUCUCUUUCUCCCAAAAUUCUUCAUCCUUCUCUCUGUCCACCACGGUGCACCUCAAUUUCCACCUGAGCAAAACUUCUUGUCGCCGCAAGCCACCAUUUUCAGGUCAUAUGUGAGUCACUUUUCCAGUUUAUUCACGUUUUUUUUUAUUUUGUUACAAAAUCAUUAGUAGGUUAGCGUGUGUCAAAGUGAUUGAGCACCAUAGUUGCUUGUUAUUCAGUUUGUUUGAUUUUGUUGUUCAACUCGUGAGUAUACUAAGAAGCUGGAUGAAGAUUUUUGGACCGAUAUGUGUCGAUUUAGAAGGUUUUGUUUAAACAUAAUCUCUAAUUUGGUGCUGGUAGUUGAUUUAGGGUUGGUAAUUUGUUUGUUAAACGAAUUUGAAUGUUGUUAAUAUCCCCUUCUAGUAACUGUAUGAUGUGAAAAUAUCAUCUGGUUGUUUGUUUGUCGUCUUGAUUAUCCAGAAACUACAAAACCAAAUAUGUACGGGAAGCAAAGAUCCCACGUUAGAAACUGGCAGACAGGUGUGACGACUCUCGGCCCCUUUUACAAGUUAUACUUGCUAGAAUCACCCUCUCUUGAAUGCUUAACUAAAUGGGGAAAUUGGGUUAAAGUGUUUUCCAAGAAUGUUAAGAGUUCGGAUCUAGAAUGAGUUUUUGUUAAGAUGAUGCUUGAAACCGGAUGAAUAUAUGUAUAGUUAGCUGAAAACACUAUAGGAAUGGGUUAUUCUCAUCAGUGACAUUGAAAGAAAACAAAUGAAGAUUUUAAGAAAAAGUGAUAUGAUGACCAAAUUUGACCCAGAUUGGGGCUUUUAUUAAAGUAUAUUUAAGCAUUCCUGUUCUAUUAGUCUAGAAUUGAAACUUCCUGAAUCUUCAUGUUAAUCUAUCAUUUAGCAAAAGAUAUUCCCAUAUCUACGGAUUCCUGUUACUAUUUAGAAAUCUGGUUUUACCUAGACGAUACAUUAUCUAUGUAGUAAUUACAUACAUCAACAAAACAAGACCACCCAAAUGGGAGGCAAUAGCAUCGAUGAGAUGUUUGAUUGUUCGGAUAGUACAAAUAGAUAUAACAGUUUAUAUCAGAAGGUAAUACAGCUGAAGAGGAGACUGAACAGCUUAGGGCAUCGGUUGAUUUCCUUGUGGAGCUAUGUGACACUCCAGAUGAGGGUAAUUUUGCAAAUUGGUCACACCAGGCUGUAGACUUCAUUUUGGAUUAAAAUGUUGAACUUAGUUAUCAAGGAGCUCGUUAAGGAAAAAUAAGAAGAAAAAGAAAGGUUCAAUGGAAUUAUUGUGAGGUUGUUGGCUGAAAAAGAAAAAGAUAAUGUGGAUAAAGAUGCUAUGCUUGAUAGGACGUCACAAAUUGAUGCUAUGUUAACAGAGUUACAGUUCGAAGAUAGGCUAUAAACAUUUGGUUUUGAAUGUUUAGAUGUUUAUCUUAUUAGGAUAAUUUUAGUUAUUUUAUGUUUUAGUUAGUAUUUUUUAUAUGCUUUUGAAAACGAGAUA